GACGAACGCUGGCGGCGUGCUUAACACAUGCAAGUCGAACGGAAAGGCCCUGCUUUUGUGGGGUGCUCGAGUGGCGAACGGGUGAGUAACACGUGAGUAACCUGCCCUUGACUUUGGGAUAACUUCAGGAAACUGGGGCUAAUACCGGAUAGGAGCUCCUGCUGCAUGGUGGGGGUUGGAAAGUUUCGGCGGUUGGGGAUGGACUCGCGGCUUAUCAGCUUGUUGGUGGGGUAGUGGCUUACCAAGGCUUUGACGGGUAGCCGGCCUGAGAGGGUGACCGGCCACAUUGGGACUGAGAUACGGCCCAGACUCCUACGGGAGGCAGCAGUGGGGAAUAUUGCACAAUGGGCGGAAGCCUGAUGCAGCAACGCCGCGUGCGGGAUGACGGCCUUCGGAUUGUAAACCGCUUUCGCCUGUGACGAAGCGUGAGUGACGGUAAUGGGUAAAGAAGCACCGGCUGACUACGUG
rnacentral:rRNA from 1 species